GUGCUGUUCAGACUGGUGCUGUUGAGACUGCUGAUCUAAUUCUUGAUCUGUUGUAAGAGACUGACUUUUCUCCUAGAAACUUUUAGGGGGCUCCUGGCUGGCUCAGUUGGUAGAGUGUGUGACUCUGGAUUUCAGGGUUGUGAGUUUGAACCCCACGU